rnacentral:rRNA from 1 species
AGCGGCCGCUCUGUUUGAUCCUGGCAGAGGUUACUGCUAUCGGUGUUCGCCUAAGCCAUGCGAGUCAUAUGUAGCAAUACAUGGCGUACUGCUCAGUAACACGUGGAUAACCUGCCCUUGGGUCCGGCAUAACCCCGGGAAACUGGGGAUAAUUCCGGAUAACGCACAUAUGCUGGAAUGCUUUAUGCGUAAAAUAGAUUCGUCUGCCCAAGGAUGGGUCUGCGGCCUAUUAGGUAGUAGUGGGUGUAAUGCACCUACUAGCCGACGACGGGUACGGGUUGUGAGAGCAAGAGCCCGGGGAUGGAUUCUGAGAUAUGAAUCCAGGCCCUACGGGGCGCAGCAGGCGCGAAAACUUUACAAUGCGGGAAACCGUGAUAAAGGGACACCGAGUGCCAGCAUCAUAUGCUGGCUGUCCAGGUGUGUAAAAUACAACUGUUAGCAAGGGCCGGGCAAGACCGGUGCCAGCCGCCGCGGUAACACCGGCGGCCCGAGUGGUGAUCGUGAUUAUUGGGUCUAAAGGGUCCGUAGCCGGUUUGGUCAGUCCUCCGGGAAAUCUGAUAGCUCAACUAUUAGGCUUUCGGGGGAUACUGCCAGACUUGGAACCGGGAGAGGUGAGAGGUACUACAGGGGUAGGAGUGAAAUCUUGUAAUCCCUGUGGGACCACCUGUGGCGAAGGCGUCUUACCAGAACGGGUUCGACGGUGAGGGACGAAAGCUGGGGGCACGAACCGGAUUAGAUACCCGGGUAGUCCCAGCCGUAAACGAUGCUCGCUAGGUGUCAGACAUGGCGCGACCGUGUCUGGUGCCGCAGGGAAGCCGUGAAGCGAGCCACCUGGGAAGUACGGCCGCAAGGCUGAAACUUAAAGGAAUUGGCGGGGUAGCACAACAACGGGUGGAGCCUGCGGUUUAAUUGGACUCAACGCCGGACAACUCACCGGGGACGACAGCAAAGUGUAGGCCAGGCUGAAGACCUUGCCUGAAUCGCUGAGAGGAGGUGCAUGGCCGUCGCCAGUUCGUACUGUGAAGCAUCCUGUUGAGUCAGGCAACGAGCGAGACC